AUUGAACGCUGGCGGCAGGCCUAACACAUGCAAGUCGAACGGUAACAGGAAGCAGCUUGCUGCUUUGCUGACGAGUGGCGGACGGGUGAGUAAUGUCUGGGAAACUGCCCGAUGGAGGGGGAUAACUACUGGAAACGGUAGCUAAUACCGCAUAACGUCGCAAGACCAAAGAGGGGGACCUUAGGGCCUCUUGCCAUCGGAUGUGCCCAGAUGGGAUUAGCUAGUAGGUGGGGUAACGGCUCACCUAGGCGACGAUCCCUAGCUGGUCUGAGAGGAUGACCAGCCACACUGGAACUGAGACACGGUCCAGACUCCUACGGGAGGCAGCAGUGGGGAAUAUUGAACAAUGGGCGCAAGCCUGAUGCAGCCAUGCCGCGUGUAUGAAGAAGGCCUUCGGGUUGUAAAGUACUUUCAGCGGGGAGGAAGGGAGUAAAGUUAAUACCUUUGCUCAUUGACGUUACCCGCAGAAGAAGCACCGGCUAACUCCGUG
rnacentral:rRNA from 1 species